rnacentral:rRNA from 1 species
AUUGAACGCUGGCGGCAGGCCUAACACAUGCAAGUCGAGCGAGCGGCGGACGGGUGAGUAAUGUAUGGGGACUGCCCGAUAGAGGGGGAUAACUACUGGAAACGGUAGCUAAUACCGCAACUAUCGGAUAACCCAUAUGGGCUUAGCUAGUAGGUGCGGUACUGGGUCACCUAGGCGCCGAUCCCUAGCUGGUCUGAGAGGAUGAGCAGCCACACGGGGACGGAGACACGGCCCAGACUCCUACGGAGGCAGCAGUGGGGAAUAUUGCACAAUGGGCGAAAGCCUGAUGCAGCCAUGCCGCGUGUAUGAAGAAGGCCCUAGGGUUGUAAAGUACUUUCAGUCGGGAGGCGUUACCGACAGAAGAAGCACCGGCUAACUCCGUGCCAGCAGCCGCGGUAAUAC